rnacentral:misc_RNA from 1 species
AAGGAGUCGUCUUCGUAUGCGAGUGUUCGGGUGUCAAACCCCUACGCGUAAUGUAAGUGAACGUAGGUGAGAGCUUCGGCGCAUCACCGACCGAUCCUGAUGUUCUCGGGUGGAUUUGAGUAAGAGCAUACGGGGCCGGACCCGAAAGAAGGUGAACUAUGCCUGUAUAGGGUGAAGCCAGAGGAAACUCUGGUGGAGGCUCGCAGCGGUACUGACGUGCAAAUCGAUCGUCAAAUAUGGGCAUAGGGGCGAAAGACUAAUCGAACCUUCUAGUAGCUGGUUUCCGC